GAUGAACGCUGGCGGCGUGCCUAAUACAUGCCAGUCGAGCGAACGGACGAGAAGCUUGCUUAUCUGAUGUUAGCGGCGGACGGGUGAGUAACACGUGGAUAACCUACCUAUAAGACUGGGAUAACUUCGGGAAACCGUAGCUAAUACCGGAUAAUAUUUUGAACCGCAUGGUUCAAAAGUGAAAGACGGUCUUGCUGUCACUUAUAGAUGGAUCCGCGCUGCAUUAGCUAGUUGGUAAGGUAACGGCUUACCAAGGCAACGAUGCAUAGCCGACCUGAGAGGGUGAUCGGCCACACUGGAACUGAGACACGGUCCAGACUCCUACGGGAGGCAGCAGUAGGGAAUCUUCCGCAAUGGGCGAAAGCCUGACGGAGCAACGCCGCGUGAGUGAUGAAGGUCUUCGGAUCGUAAAACUCUGUUAUUAGGGAAGAACAUAUGUGUAAGUAACUGUGCACAUCUUGACGGUACCUAAUCAGAAAGCCACGGCUAACUACGUG
rnacentral:rRNA from 1 species